rnacentral:rRNA from 1 species
GAUGAACGCUGGCGGCGUGCCUAAUACAUGCAAGUCGAGCGAACGGACGAGAAGCUUCCUUUUCUGAUGUUAGCGGCGGACGGGUGAGUAACACGUGGAUAACCUACCUAUAAGACUGGGAUAACUUCGGGAAACCGGAGCUAAUACCGGAUAAUAUUUUGAACCGCAUGGUUCAAAAGUGAAAGACGGUCUUGCUGUCACUUAUAGAUGGAUCCGCGCUGCAUUAGCUAGUUGGUAAGGUAACGGCUUACCAAGGCAACGAUGCAUAGCCGACCUGAGAGGGGGAUCGGCCACACUGGAACUGAGACACGGUCCAGACUCCUACGGGAGGCAGCAGUAGGGAAUCUUCCGCAAUGGGCGAAAGCCUGACGGAGCAACGCCGCGUGAGUGAUGAAGGUCUUCGGAUCGUAAAACUCUGUUAUUAGGGAAGAACAUAUGUGUAAGUAACUGUGCACAUCUUGACGGUACCUAAUCAGAAAGCCACGGCUAACUACGUG